AUCCUCACACCUUGAUGGCGGGCAUGCAGAUGGAGGGUAACCUGGCAAUAUUCACAACAAUUUCAGAUUGCACACACUUCAAUCCAGGAAUUUAUCUUCCAGGAACAUGAUGGAAAUAAUCCAACAGGUUGGCUCCCAAUUCCAUCACUCCAUACAUCAUCAUCUAUUUACUUGCAGAACUGGCUGGACACAGAUGUGUUUUCCAUUUCUCCUUUUAAACUGACCUCCUGACCUACAGUACAAAUGCUUAAAAGAUUCUGUCCACGUGGCCAAAAUUAAUUGAGAGAUCACC